AAAGUCCUACGGGAGGCAGCAGAAGGGAAUCUUCCACAAUGGGCGAAAGCCUGAUGGAGCAACGCCGCGUGGGUGAAGAAGGUCUUCGGAUCGUAAAACCCUGUUGUUAGAGAAGAAAGUGCGUGAGAGUAACUGUUCACGUUUCGACGGUAUCUAACCAGAAAGCCACGGCUAACUACGUGCCAGCAGCCGCGGUAAUACGUAGGUGGCAAGCGUUAUCCGGAUUUAUUGGGCGUAAAGGGAACGCAGGCGGUCUUUUAAGUCUGCUGUGAAAGCUUUUGGCUUAACCGGAGUGUUGCAUUGGG
rnacentral:rRNA from 1 species